rnacentral:rRNA from 1 species
AACAAACGCUGGCGGCGUGCCUAAUACAUGCAAGUCGAACGAGGUAGCAAUACCUAGUGGCGCACGGGUGAGUAACGCGUGGAUAAUCUGCCUUGGAGUGGGGGAUAACGAGUCGAAAGACUCGCUAAUACCGCAUAAGACCACAGGAGCUGCGGCUCUAGGGGUCAAAGGUUUUUCGUUCCAAGAUGAGUCCGCGUAAGAUUAGCUAGUUGGUGAGGUAAUGGCUCACCAAGGCGACGAUCUUUAACUGGUCUGAGAGGAUGAUCAGUCACACUGGAACUGAGACACGGUCCAGACUCCUACGGGUGGCAG